UAUUUUAAGAGUUUGAUCCUGGCUCAGGAUGAACGCUAGCGGUGUGCCUAAGAUAUGCAAGUCGAACGAUUUUUCACUUCGGUGAAAGAUAGUGGCGGACGGCUGAGUAACACGUAGGGACCUACCCCACAGCGGAGCAUAGCCUCUCGAAAGAGAGGGUAAUUCUCCAUAGUCCCCGACAUUAGUCGGGGUAAAGGCGCAAGUCGCUGAGGGAGGGGCCUGCGGUCCAUCAGGUAGUUGGUAGGGUAACGGCCUACCAAGCCUAUGACGGAUAGCUGACCUCAUGAGGGUGACCAGCCAGAGGAGGACUGAGACACGGCCUCCACACCUACGGGUGGCAGCAAUCAGGAAUCGUUGACAAUGGGCGCAAGCCUGAUCACGCGACACCGCGUGUAGGAAGACGCUCUAAUCGAGUGUAAACUACUGUGGUAGGGGAAGAAGUCCCGCCUUUGGCGGGAUUGACGGUACCCUACUAGAAAGUGGCCGCUAACUUCGUGCCAGAAGCGUCGGUAAUACGUGGGCCACGAGCGUUAUCCGGUGUAACUGGGCGUAAAGCGUGUGUAGGUGGUUUGUUAAGUUAUCUUUUAAAGACCUCGACUUACUUGAGGGAAAGGAGGUAAUACUGACAGACUAGAGUUUUCUUUAGGGAAAUCGGAAUUGACAGAGGAGUAGUGAAAUGCGUUGAUACUGUCAAGAACACCAGUGGCGAAGGCGGAUUUCUGGAAGAUAACUGACACUCAGACACGAAAGCUAGGGGAGCGAACCGGAUUAGAGACCCGGGUAGUCCUAGCCCUAAACGAUGCUCGCUAGUUGCAUCUAUCUCAAUUUAUUGCGAUGGGUGUGGCGAAGCUAACGCGUUAAGCGAGCCGCCUGGGAAGUACGAUCGCAAGGUUGAAACUCAAAGGAAUUGGCGGGGAGACACACAACCAGUGGAGUAUGUGGUUUAAUUCGAUACAAACCGAAAAACCUCACCAGGGUUUGAAAUGCUACUGCAAGCCCGAUGAAAGUCGGGCCGCCUUCGAGGGUGUAGCACAGCUGCUGCAUGGCUGUCGUCAGUUCGUUCCGUGAGGAGUGCCCUUCAGUGGGACAACGAACGAAACCUUCGCCCUAUGUUACAAGUGUCAUAGGGGACUGCUCUCGCUCUGCGGGGGAGGAAGGAGGAGCGGACGUCAAGUCAGCAUGGCGCUUAUACCCUGGGCCACACACAUACUACAAUGAGAGGGACAAAGAGUUGCGAGCUGGUAACAGUAAGCCAAUCUCAAAAACCCUUUCUCAGUGGGGAUUAAGGUCUGAAACUCGACCUUAUGAACGCGGAAUUGGUAGUAAUCGCGAAUCAGCCAGGUCGCGGUGAAUACGUUCUUGUCUCUUGCACACACUGCCCGUCAAGCCAACAAAGUCGGGGGUACCUGAAGGCUGACAGUAGUCGGACGAGGGUAAAUCUGGCGAUGGGGGUUAAGUCGUAACAAGGUAUGGGUUCUGGAAGGAGCUCAUGAAUCACCUCCUUU
rfam:Microgenomates bacterium OLB22 TZ21_OP11001CONTIG000014, whole genome shotgun sequence.